AGCCGACUGAUAAAUAAUCGUGAACUGUGAGAGCGACACACCAAGGAAACCAGAAGAGCCGAUGAAGAAGAACAAAGUAUGAGAGACCCUUUUUUAAUAUUUAUUUCUGCUACAUGUUACUUUUUAUGUUUUUUCUCCCUUCUCUUCCAUCCA
rnacentral:ribozyme from 1 species